rnacentral:rRNA from 1 species
UACAGAGGUCUCGAGCGUUGUUCGGAUUCAUUGGGCGUAAAGGGUGCGUAGGUGGCGCCGUAAGUCGGGUGUGAAAUUUCGGAGCUUAACUCCGAAACUGCAUUCGAUACUGCGGUGCUUGAGGACUGGAGAGGAGACUGGAAUUUACGGUGUAGCAGUGAAAUGCGUAGAGAUCGUAAGGAAGACCAGUGGCGAAGGCGGGUCUCUGGACAGUUCCUGACACUGAGGCACGAAGGCCAGGGGAGCAAACGGG